GCGGGGGUAGCCAAGCCUGGUCAACGGCGCAGGAUUCAGGGUCCUGUCUCGAAGGAGUUCUUGGGUUCGAAUCCCAUCCCCCGCA
rnacentral:tRNA from 1 species